UACGGGGGGUGCUAACGUUGUCCGGAAUUACUGGGCGUAAAGAGCAUGUAGGUGGUUCUGUAAGUUGACGAUGAAAGACCGACGCUUAACGUCGGAAACGUUUUUCAAUACUGCAGAACUUGAGGAAAACAGGGGUAAGCGGAACUUUCGGUGUAGGAGUGAAAUCCGUAGAUAUCGAAAGGAACACCAAUGGCGAAGGCAGCUUACUGGGUUUUACCUGACACUGAGAUGCGA
rnacentral:rRNA from 1 species